GGCUCGGUGGUGGAUGGUCCAUACCUGCUUCUUGUAUGUCGUCAUACGUGUAAAGACAAUAGCCAGCAGGGGACGCCUGUUCGAACCAGGCUCGAGCCG